GACGAACGCUGGCGGCGUGCUUAACACAUGCAAGUCGAACGGAAAGGCCCUGCUCUUGUGGGGUGCUCGAGUGGCGAACGGGUGAGUAACACGUGAGUAACCUGCCCUUGACUUUGGGAUAACUUCAGGAAACUGGGGCUAAUACCGGAGAGGAGCUCCUGCUGCAUGGGGGGGGUUGGAAAGUUUCGGCGGUUGGGGAUGGACUCGCGGCUUAUCAGCUUGUUGGGGAGGUAGUGGCUUACCAAGGCUUUGACGGCUAGCCGGCCUGAGAGGGUGGCCGGCCUCAUUGGUCCUGCGGUAGGGCGCAGUCUCCUACGGUCGGCAGAAGUCGGGAGUCUUGCACAAUGGGCGGACGUCUGAUGCAGCAACGCCGCGUGCGGAAUGACGGCUUUCGGGUUAUGAACCGAUUUCGAAGGUGCCGAAGAGUGAGUGACGGUAAUGGGUAAAGAAGCACCGGCUAACUACGUG
rnacentral:rRNA from 1 species